CCCCUCCACGAGCGUGCCGCGCGAGACACCGAGCAGACGAGGAAUCCGCGCGGUGUGGAGCGGACGGUGCUCGGCUGCUGGGACAAGUUGUAACGCCGGGACACGGAGAACAGCACCGGUUUUCAUGGGACCUUCCGCUGCCGGCAAGCUCAAGGAGAACUCUCGAUGUUGAAGCAUACAGAAGAGACGCUGUCACGGAGCGAUAAAAGCAUUCAUGCAAGCUGCGAUGGGACACAGUAAGGCUGUGGACGUGAUAAGAAAUCUCUGCAGUGCUCCUUUUCAAUCACAGCCCCAACACUAGGCAGUAGAGAAGUCCAUUAUCUACGAUUAAUGACAGCCGUGUUGCGGAGGCAGCCUCAAGCUGCACCGCCAGAUCUGAGACAACCCAUGGAGGCAUGGCCUCAACGUUUCCAACGCUGCUGCCACUAA
rnacentral:lncRNA from 1 species